CCUACGGGGGGCAGCAGUAGGGAAUCUUCCACAAUGGGCGAAAGCCUGAUGGAGCAACGCCGCGUGGGUGAAGAAGGUCUUCGGAUCGUAAAACGCUGUUGUUAGAGAAGAAAGUGCGUGAGAGUAACUGUUCACGUUUCGACGGUAUCUAACCAGAAAGCCACGGCUAACUACGUGCCAGCAGCCGCGGUAAUACGUAGGUGGCAAGCGUUAUCCGGAUUUAUUGGGCGUAAAGGGAACGAAGGCGGUCUUUUAAGUCUGAUGUGAAAGCCUUGGGCUUAACCGGAGUAGUGCAUUGGAAACUGGGAAACUUGAGUGCGAAAGAGGAGAGUGGAACUCCAUGUGAAGCGGUGAAAUGCGUAGAUAUAUGGAAGAACACCAGUGGCGAAGGCGGCUCUCUGGUCUGUAACUGACGCUGAGGUUCGAAAGCGUGGGUAGCAAACAGGAUUAGAUACCCUGGUAGUC
rnacentral:rRNA from 1 species